GAUGAACGCUGGCGGCGCGCCUAACACAUGCAAGUCGAACGGCACCUAUCUUCGGNUAGAAGCGAGUGGCGAACGGCUGAGUAACACGUGGAGAACCUGCCCCCUCCCCCGGGAUAGCCGCCCGAAAGGACGGGUAAUACCGGAUACCCCGGGGUGCCGCAUGGCACCCCGGCUAAAGCCCCGACGGGAGGGGAUGGCUCCGCGGCCCAUCAGGUAGACGGCGGGGUGACGGCCCACCGUGCCGACAACGGGUAGCCGGGUUGAGAGACCGACCGGCCAGAUUGGGACUGAGACACGGCCCAGACUCCUACGGGAGGCAGCAGUGGGGAAUCUUGCGCAAUGGGGGGAACCCUGACGCAGCGACGCCGCGUGCGGGACGGAGGCCUUCGGGUCGUAAACCGCUUUCAGCAGGGAAGAGUCAAGACUGUACCUGCAGAAGAAGCCCCGGCU
rnacentral:rRNA from 1 species